rnacentral:rRNA from 1 species
UACUCGAGUGGCGAACGGGUGAGUAACACGUGGGUGAUCUGCCCUGCACUUCGGGAUAAGCUUGGGAAACUGGGUCUAAUACCGGAUAGGAACCAUCUUUAGUGUGGUGGUUGGAAAGUUUUUUCGGUGCAGGAUGAGCUCGCGGCCUAUCAGCUUGUUGGUGGGGUAAUGGCCUACCAAGGCGGCGACGGGUAGCCGGCCUGAGAGGGUGUACGGCCACAUUGGGACUGAGAUACGGCCCAG